rnacentral:ncRNA from 1 species
UAAUUGGAGAGUUUGAUCCUGGCUCAGAGUGAACGCUGGCGGCGUGCUUAACACAUGCAAGUCGCACGAGAACGCUUCAGCUUGCUGAAGCUAGUAAAGUGGCGCACGGGUGAGUAACGCGUGUAAUACCGAAUAACAUCCUGGCAUCUUCGGUUGCCUGGAUCAAAGGUGGCCUCUACAUGUAAGCUACUGUUUGGAGACGGGCCCGCGUCCCAUUAGCUUGUUGGUGGGGUAACGGCCUACCAAGGCGACGAUGGGUAGCUGGUCUGAGAGGAUGAUCAGCCACACUGGAACUGACACACGGUCCAGACUCCUACGGGAGGCAGCAGUGAGGAAUCUUGCGCAAUGGGCGAAAGCCUGACGCAGCAACGCCGCGUGAGUGAUGAAGGCUUUCGGGUCGUAAAGCUCUGUCAAGUGGGAAGAAUCCAUGUGAUGCUAAUAUCAUCACGUGCUGACGGUACCACUGAAGGAAGCACCGGCUAACUCCGUGCCAGCAGCCGCGGUAAUACGGGGGGUGCAAGCGUUACUCGGAUUUACUGGGCGUAAAGAGCGCGUAGGCGGUUUCCUAAGUCAGGUGUGAAAGCCCGGGGCUUAACCCUGGAAGUGCAUUUGAUACUGGGAGACUUGAGUAUGGGAGAGGGAAGUGGAAUUCCUGGUGUAGCGGUGAAAUGCGUAGAUAUCAGGAGGAACACCAGUGGCGAAGGCGGCUUCCUGGACCAAUACUGACGCUGAGGCGCGAAGGCGUGGGUAGCAAACAGGAUUAGAUACCCUGGUAGUCCACGCAGUAAACGUUGUUCACUAGGUGUAGCGGGUAUUGACCCCUGCUGUGCCGAAGCUAACGCAUUAAGUGAACCGCCUGGGGAGUACGGCCGCAAGGUUAAAACUCAAAGGAAUUGACGGGGGCCCGCACAAGCGGUGGAGCAUGUGGUUUAAUUCGACGCAACGC